AUCACUUCUCAGCCUUUUGGCUAAGAUCAAGUGUAGUAUCUGUUCUUACCAGAAAACAAAGGAAAUAAAAUGUUAUGCUCAGAAGCCAGUCCUCUAACUUUUAACUUAGUUCAAGCAACCCCAGACUUCUUUUUUUUUUUGAGACUGAGUUUUGCUCUUAUUACCCAGGCUGGAGUGCAAUGGCGCGAUCUCG
ensembl:snRNA U2 U2 spliceosomal RNA